UACGUAGGGGGCGAGCGUUGUCCGGAUUUACUGGGCGUAAAGAGCGCGUAGGCGGAAAUUUAAGCGUGGCCUGAAAGCCCCCGGCUCAACCGGGGAGUGCGGCUGCGAACUGGGUUUCUUGAGGACGAUAGAGGAGAGUGGAAUUCCUGGUGUAGCGGUGAAAUGCGUAGAUAUCAGGAGGAACACCCGAGGCGAAGGCGGCUCUCUGGGUCGUACCUGACGCUGAGGCGCGAAAGCUAGGGGAGCGAACGGG
rnacentral:rRNA from 1 species